rnacentral:rRNA from 1 species
AACGCGAAGAACCUUACCAGGUCUUGACAUCCCAGUGACCGCUCUAGAGAUAGAGUUUUUCUUCGGAACACUGGUGACAGGUGGUGCAUGGUUGUCGUCAGCUCGUGUCGUGAGAUGUUGGGUUAAGUCCCGCAACGAGCGCAACCCUUAUUGUUAGUUGCCAUCAUUCAGUUGGGCACUCUAGCGAGACUGCCGGUAAUAAACCGGAGGAAGGUGGGGACGACGUCAAAUCAUCAUGCCCCUUAUGACCUGGGCUACACACGUGCUACAAUGGUUGGUACAACGAGUCGCAAGUCGGUGACGGCAAGCAAAUCUCUUAAAGCCAAUCUCAGUUCGGAUUGUAGGCUGCAACUCGCCUACAUGAAGUCGGAAUCGCUAGUAAUCGCGGAUCAGCACGCCGCGGUGAAUACGUUCCCGGGUCUUGUACACACGC